UCUGUGAAAGCUGCACGAGAGCGUGCUGAGUGAAGCUGAGCCGUUGCACUGAUUCAAACCCCGAUAUGUUCCCAUUCAGGAAAUAAACUGCCUGACAACCCAGAAACUCGUCUUC